AUCGAACGCUGGCGGCAGGCUUAACACAUGCAAGUCGAGCGAGCGGCGGACGGGUGAGUAACGUCUGGGAAAUUGCCUGAUGGUGGGGGAUAACUUCUGGAAACGGUAGCUCAUACCGCAUACCAUCAGAUGUGCCCAGAUGGGAUUAGCUAGUAGGUGGGGUAAUGGCUCACCUAGGCGACGAUACCUAGCUGGUCUGAUAGGAUGACCAGCCACACUGGAACUGAGACACGGUCCAGACUCCUACGGGAGGCAGCAGUGGGGAAUAUUGCACAAUGGGCGCAAGCCUGAUGCAGCCAUGCCGCGUGUGUGAAGAAGGCCUUCGGGUUGUAAAGCACUUUCAGCGAGGAGGCGUUACUCGCAGAAGAAGCACCGGCUAACUCCGUGCCAGCCGCCGCGGUAAUUC
rnacentral:rRNA from 1 species